UGUUCUUCAAUUUUUUUUUCAUCUUUUUGCUUUUUUGCUUCCAUCUCUUUCAGUCAUAUACAUUAUUACAUUGUUGGGUUUUGGCUUGGUGGCUGUGGCAGCUGUUUUCGGCUUUACUUGGGUUUGUAUUAUGGAGGCUCAGCUAUCAAUCGCAAGUCGCUUUUGUUUGCACUCGAAUUCCUAUUUUGGAGCUCAACUCUUACUAGAUGAUGAAUGGUGAACGGCUUUGUUUAUUACUCGAUUUCUCGCAAGAUCUCAAAGUCAGCACUCCUCUUAUAUUAUGAAGGUAUCCAAGUGGUAUUAAAGGGUAUAAAGUGUAUGAUAUCAAUGCAAAUAAGUUUCCUGUAUCCAGGAACAUUGUUUUGCAUGAGCAUAAAUUUCCUUGCCAGAUAACACAAAAUAUCAUUAAUCAUCAUUCAUUUCUACAAACACCUGGUGUGUAUGAUUUUGAUUUUGAUAUUUAAACUCCUGACAUUGUAAAUUUUGCUCCAAAUCUUCAUUCUUCUUCUUAAAGAUCUCCAUGUACACUUAUUCCAUCAUCUGAAACUGGUUCUUCAUCAAAAUU